CAGAGGGUAGUUUAAUCAGAAUAUUAAUUUUGGGGAUUAAUGGUAAGACUUGUCUUUCCUCUGA
rnacentral:tRNA from 1 species